GUAAGAAUUCUUUUUCCCAGAGUGCUAGGCAGCUGCUUAGAGGAGUCCAUGGCUGCUGAUUGUUGGUACAAGGUUUGAGGAUUUAGAGAGUUUAUAGAGUGCCAUGGAAAAGGUUCAACGUAGGGCUACAAGAAUGAUUCCUGGUCUUAGAGGAAUGUCUUAGGAGAGAUUAGCUGAGCUGAAUCCGUUUAGCCUCAAGCAAAGAUGAGAUUAAAAGAUAAAUCUUAAAAGAUAAGAUUUUAACAACACUGAGCUAUUAGUUAAGUUCUCCCCAAACGAGCCUGAUGGGCCAAAUGGCCUCCUCUCGUUUGUAAAUUUCUCAUGUUCUUAGUUUUGCAGUUUGCAUCACCUGGGGUUUCCUAAUGAUGGCUGUGAACAAGCCAUAGUCCUAAGUGGCUAAUGAAGGUCUGGGACCUUAAUAAACGUUAUCUGAGACCUCAAAUAUCUUGAGGUGCCCAAACUUUGGCAUGGUGCUCCUUUCCUUUUUCUACAGUUGUACAAAACAAGAACAAUACACUAAUCUUGCAUAAAAUGCUGAAAAGAAAUGUGUUAUCUUUAACUUUAUGCCUUUUGGUGAUCAGUUCUUCUGCUCAUUUAACUAUUCACAGUAACAGACAUUUUAAGCAAGGGUGCCCAAACUUUGUAUGCCAUUGUAACUAUCUUUUUGUUUUUCCAUAACUGCUUGUGCCCCAAUUUAUAAAACAAGAUAUUAUACUUCAAUCUGCUUUGCAGCUUUGGCUCUCAUAUUACCUGUAUAAUACAUGAAUAUAAUGCAAAAUUUAAUAGGUCUGGUACUGUUGAUAAGGCAUGUGAAAUCGAUAAGUAACAGCCAUAAGUAAUCAGUGCAGUGACCCGUUACCCGAAAAUCCCGUCCCGGUUUAACCUUGUAGACACACCCACAUUGAGCACCGGUUGUGUAAAUGCGUACCGGCCAUAAAACACCUUCUGUAUUGAAGCAGUAUUUUCAUAAGCCUGGUGACCAGAAAAAAAAAAUCGUUUGCUGGAAAAGGAAAAACUUUUGAAGCUGCUUGCGAACUCUCAUUGGCACCUUGCAAUCUCACAAGCAAAGUCAAACCCAAAGGGUCAGUGACACAACAUGUAGUGUCCAGGGAAAAGGUCAGCCCACUUUGGGCUAAAGACUGUGCUGCUGCGGUGAAUGGUCGUUCCUAUUAACAUACUUGAGAGAGUCAUUUAAUAAAGUAAACACAGACUCUCAGCCACUGUAUAUAAAGACAGUGUCAGAAAUACUAAGUGAAAGAUAAUUGAUUGGUAAAUCAGAUGUGUUAAAUAAAAUACUUGUACAAUAUUGUA